rnacentral:rRNA from 1 species
UGGGGAAUAUUGGACAAUGGGCGCAAGCCUGAUCCAGCCAUGCCGCGUGAGUGAUGAAGGCCCUAGGGUUGUAAAGCUCUUUCACCGGUGAAGAUAAUGACGGUAACCGGAGAAGAAGCCCCGGCUAACUUCGUGCCAGCAGCCGCGGUAAUACGAAGGGGGCUAGCGUUGUUCGGAUUUACUGGGCGUAAAGCGCACGUAGGCGGACUUUUAAGUCAGGGGUGAAAUCCCGGGGCUCAACCCCGGAACUGCCUUUGAUACUGGAAGUCUUGAGUAUGGUAGAGGUGAGUGGAAUUCCGAGUGUAGAGGUGAAAUUCGUAGAUAUUCGGGGGAAAACCAGUGGCGAAGGCGGCUCACUGGACCAUUACUGACGCUGAGGUGCGAAAGCGUGGGGAGCAAACAGG